rnacentral:lncRNA from 1 species
GGACAGGCAAGCUCUGCCUUUGCCUCUGCGGAGCACCCCUGAAGGCCACCACCAGCUCUGUACACCGCAGGAGACAUCAGCAGCUCUUCUCAGCGGGAGGCAGCAGCUCUCAAAACAAAGAAGGACUCAAACUCCCACCAAAGGGCCAGUUAAAACUAUCCAUUUAUUCUGGGCAAAUCGCACACAUUGUUCUUUCAUUUGCUCUAUGCUAGAUCAGCCCUGGGGAGGAGCUUCUCCCUUGGAUUAAAGAUAUCAAAGUUAUGGCACAAAACACAAAGAAAACCAGGGAAGUAACCCUUACAGAUAAAAUACAUUGGAAAAUUUCAGUAACCUGGACUCCAUGCAGCCCCCAGCUCUGCUUAGCACAAGCCAAAAGGUUCAGGCUGUACAAAACAGCACCGCUCGCCAUGGCACAAUUCCUUCAGUUACGUGAUCCAAAAAGAAACUGAAUGCCUCUCUGCAUCUCACAACCUCAGAACAAUGAUGCCCAGCUGACAACUAAAAUAAUUCUGAACAGUGCCAUCUGUACAGAACUGCUGCACUUUACUGACACAAAACUGUACCCAGCAGAACGUUUCCCUGCAAACACUAGGCCAAAGAGCACUGAUGAGCAGCCAGAUCUAGGACACAGAAGGAGAUGGGAAGCUAAAGACAGGUGGAGUUUGUUCUGCAGCACAGGUAGAGCAUGGAAUCGCUUUUCAACUCCUCUGGCCAACUUCUACUGGGAGAUUUACAUACAAGUCCUCAGUCAAGUCUUAAAAGAAUUAUCCAGAGUCCCCUGGGUAAAAACAAUCUGCUUCAACAAAGAGUAGAGUCCAGAGCUUCUCAGUGAUUCUUUUUGGUUGAGCCGAAACCAGAAAAGCCCAUCACAGCUGCCAUUUCAUCAUCCUCUUCAAAAGUCAAAUCUUCCUCUGCCCUCCUUUUCUUUUCUCUCUGCUUCUCCUUCUUGUACGCUUUGGCCUUUUCCUCCUCCUCGCGGAGUUCCUUCAUCCUCUCCUCAAAGUCAUAGUCCUUCUGCUUCUCCUCCAUCUUCUUCUUGUUCACCUCAAAGCGCUUCUUCACCUGGUCCAGCGUGGAGCGCUCCACCCGCAUGGACAUGCCCAGGUUUCUCUGGUGUUUUUUGCCAUUGAUGUGAUCCAAGAAGUUAAUGGAGUCUUUCACCACGCAGUCACAUACAUUACAGUAAUACCCUCCCAUCUCUGACUGAGGGGUAGUUUUGGUAAUGACAAUGGUUUUCCCCAGCUUCGAUUCCAGGUCCACUUUGUAGUCUCGGUGCCGCAGAAGUUCCCUUUUGACGGGUUGAGCUGGUUUGCCAUCUUUCUUUUCUCUCUCCUCCGUGAGCCGCUUCUCUGCAAGUUUCUCAUAUUCAUCUUUGUCCCACUUUCGGCGGAAGUCCAAGUUCUUAGUCCCACUGCCCGACGCCAUGUUGAGCUGCAGGCGAC